rnacentral:rRNA from 1 species
UAGCGGCGAGUGAAGCGGCAAGAAGCUCAGAUUUGAAAUCGUGUUUCGGCACGAGUUGUAGAGUGUAGGCGGGAGUCUCUGUGGAGCGCGGUGUCCAAGUCCCUUGGAACAGGGUGCCUGAGAGGGUGAGAGCCCCGUAGGGUGCUGCGCGAAGCUUUUGAGGCCCUGCUGACGAGUCGAGUUGUUUGGGAAUGCAGCUCCAAGCGGGUGGUAAAUUCCAUCUAAGGCUAAAUAUUGGCGAGAGACCGAUAGCGAACAAGUACUGUGAAGGAAAGAUGAAAAGCACUUUGAAAAGAGAGUGAAACAGCACGUGAAAUUGUUGAAAGGGAAGGGUAUUGGGCUCGACAUGGGGGGUGCGCACCGCUGUCUCUUGUAGGCGGCGCUCUGGGCGCCCUCUGGGCCAGCAUCGGUUCCUGCUGCGGGAGAAGGGGCUCCGGAAAGUGGCUCUUCGGAGUGUUAUAGCCGGGGCCAGAUGCCGCGUGUGGGGACCGAGGACUGCGGCUUCUGUCUCGGAUGCUGGCAUAACGGCGCAAUACCGCCCGUCUUGAA